CCGGGGUCGAACUCGGAGGAAGGUGGGGACGACGUCAAGUCAUCAUGCCCCUUAUGUCCAGGGCUUCACACAUGCUACAAUGGCCAGUACAGAGGGCUGCGAGACCGUGAGGUGGAGCGAAUCCCUUAAAGCUGGUCUCAGUUCGGAUCGGGGUCUGCAACUCGACCCCGUGAAGUCGGAGUCGCUAGUAAUCGCAGAUCAGCAACGCUGCGGUGAAUACCGGUUCCCGGGCCUU
rnacentral:rRNA from 1 species